AUAUACUUGGAUUGAGGGGGACAGAGAGGAAGACAAGUUCUCAAUGAUUUGAUGAAGUUGAGCUGCACAGGAAAAUAUUGUGAAAAUGCUCUGUUGUUGAAGCUACAAAUUCUGGAAAGAUAUCUCUCUUUCCUUCGCGAGUUUAUGGUUAUGGAGGAACAAUUAUCUGUUGGUAACUUCUGUAGUUUGUUUUCAUAUCUAAUCUAUAAAAUCUUGUGUCUUGAAAAACUUUAGUUAUUGGAAUCUCUAGAGAUCCUUUC